GUGGCUCCUCUAGGUGAGCAGCCCUCAGUGCGCAUCUCCCUGAAGUCCACAUUGAUCCGGCAGAGCUGUGGGGUUCACAGCUCACACUGAGGCAUUCAGGGCCUAAACCCCACUUUACUCUUUUGUACAAUGAAUGGGAAAUCAGUGAUCUAAAUGAGUUUAAAUCUUAUUAGGGAUUCAGACUGCCCUUCAGACUCUGUCUCUAUUCCUCCCAGAGCUGGGUUCAACAUGAAUUCAAAUAGAAAUAUGAGACAAUGAAUUAUGGUAGUGACAAAGACCUUCCUUCGAAUUCCGGAUUUUUCUAGCAGCCCCUUUCUUUCUGCUUCCCACCUGCCUUCAACUCUUUCUCCUAAAAAAGUUCAGUUGGGGUGAACGUUUGAUGACUUAGAACAUCAUUAUUUUAACGUGAUCCCAAAGCGGUUUUCAUUAUAUGCAAAGCUGCAUAUUUAUUCACAUUUUAAAAAAUGUUCUAAAUUGGUUUCUUAUGUCCAAAAGAAGGGGAGCUAGUUAUAAGAAAAGAGAACUGAGUAACAUAAGAAAGUGCUAAUCAUUUCAAAUUAAAGUGGGAAACAUGCAAAGCAGAAAGAAUGAAUUUCAUAAACUCAACAAAUUAUUAACAUAAAUAAUUCCAAACUCUUGUAUCUAUAUAACAUCAGUGAUCUGUGAGGUGAAAUGAGAUUCUGAAGAAAAAGUAAAUAAUAAGGCCAUUUUUCUAAGCCAAAAAAGUUUUUGUCAUUAGUUGUGGAAUUUCACCAAUUAAUUUUUUUUCAAAUAAAACUUUCUUAAACUUUUACUGCCUACUAUUGCUUGUAGGUUAGUAAACCCUAGCAGAAAACAAAAUCAUUAAGGAAAUGGAAAACAAACAUUAAUGGGAAAUUUAUGUAAUCUUAAUUCUUAACGUGUCUUAUGAGUUAAUUUUUAAAAUGUGAAGGUUUAUUCUUGGUGUUUGGUAAUUAAGUUUAUUAAUCUCUCACAAAUAUGAGGAAUUUUAUUCCCUAAAGGAACGUGAGGAACACGAGUAGUUCAAGAAAAUGCUGAAGAUGCGCUUGGCUGGGAAGCUAGGAUAGGCUGACGAAGUCAGACUUAGUGUGGGAACCUGGUAAGCAGUGGAUCGAUGUUAGCUGUUUUCACUUAUUGCACUAGUAUAAUCAGUUUGAUGGUACAUACUUCAGCCCCAGCUGUUACUUAAGACCUGGUUUCACAUUUUAUGUUCUUUUUCUGUGCAGGCUGGGAAAGGGUUUCUUCUGUCCAUAAAAGCUACUCCAAUGGCUGUGGGAGACUUAAUUCCAAUUCCAGGUGAUACAGCCGUCAGUCUCCCACUAGCUGUAGGAUGGUGUGCUGCAGUUCACAGGUGUGGAUGCUCAAGUGGGCUUUCAAAGAUGUCAUGAGAGGGAGGGGUAAUGUAUUAGGCACAUUUUCCAAAUAUAGGCAUUUCAUUGUACAAGACCCCAAAUGUGAGAGGGUGUUUGUUUCAGUGUUUUAUAGAGUUCCUAAUAUGCCAUCAUAUAUACAUUCAGUUGUUUUCAAAAUACAGUUUAGUAUUUGGCUACUCACAAAGUAAUAAAACAUUUAAAUCACUUAACCAUACAAUUCUUGAUAACCAAAAGGCUUUUCUUUCUAUUCAGUAGUUUAACAUUCAGCUUUCUUUUUUAGGGCAAAGGAGAUAGAAGUGGAUGAAAUGACAGAGUAUUUUUUUAAUUGAACUCUGAUUAAUGCCAAAAGUGUUCAAUCACUAUGUGUGGGGAAGUUUCCUGGUACAAAGGAAAAAAAAACAGGUUGUUCAUACACUUGGCUGUGUUAGUAAGUGGUAAACAGAAUUAAACUUUUCUUAUGUGAACUCACACAUAUGUGCUUCAUAAUAUGUCACUCCUAUUUAACAUCUCUUUCACACACACAGUCAUCCCCCCCACACAUACCCUUUUGCUAGUCUUCUUCCAUUUUGCUUAUUAACCCAAAGAAAGAAAAAAAUAUGGAAGCCUUCUUGCAUAGGUUGCGUUAAUCAGAUGAAUUAUUGAAGCCACUCUGUCUAAAUAUUAUUUUCCCUUAUUUUUCCUUCAUUAGUUUCCCAUUCUGUUGUAUUUAUUUAAUUUUUAUUUCAUUUUCCAGACCUAAGUCAAUGUUAGUCUACCACUGUACGUCUGGUAACCUCAAUCCCUGCAACCGGAGCAAAAUGUGAUUCCAGGUCUUGGCAACCUCUGAAAUUCCAACUCCAUUUGCGAGAGCUUUGAGGAGGCCAUAUGCUGAUUUCACCACAAGCAACUUCACAACCCAGUACUGGAAUGCCAUCAGCCAGCAGGCCCCUGCCAUUAUCUGUGACUUCUAUCUGUGGCUCAUUGGAAGGAAACCCAGCUACCGAAGGAAGAUACCCUCAUCAACCCAAUUUUACAAAUGGAGAAAUAGAAGCUCAGGGAAGAAUCUGAAGUAGUCUCAAAGGAAGUGACAGGAAGGAUGUGGAGAAAGCUGAGUGUCAAAGUCAGUAUUCAAGACCGGAUUUACUGCUACUUAGAGAUGAAUGAAGAAAUCAGAGGGAACGCAGUGUGCUGAUGCUAAAGCGGCUGUCACCACCCAGCUGUGUGACAUAGGACAUCUUCUUUCUCUGUCUCACUUGACUAAUAUGUUGUGUCAGGGGAGACAUGAUUGUAAUUGCCUAAAGCAAUUCUUGUGAUCAAGAAUCAGAAGCAUGAACAGUAUUGCCCUCUGUGUUAGCCCCUUUAUAAGGGAGGAAGUCAUCUUCAGCAUGCUGAAUUGUCAUCUUUCUUAGCAGUGCAAAUGACUAAAACUUAGCCAAUGUAGAGUUUGUCCAAAUUUGGAGCUCAUAACUCAGUUCUUGAGCAAAGUGAAAAGAAAACAUUGUGAUUAUGGGGAAAAUAUUUGUACGGGACUUAUCAAAUAAAGAUAGGAAAAGAAGAAAACUCAAAUAUUAUAGGCAGAAAUGCUAAAGGUUUUAAAAUAUGUCAGGAUUGGAAGAAGGCAUGGAUAAAGAACAAAGUUCAGUUAGGAAAGAGAAACACAGAAGGAAGAGACACAAUAAAAGUCAUUAUGUAUUCUGUGAGAAGUCAGACAGUAAGAUUUGUGGGAAAUGGGUUGGUUUGUUGUAUGGUAUGUAUUUUAGCAAUAAUCUUUAUGGCAGAGAAAGCUAAAAUCCUUUAGCUUGCGUGAAUGAUCACUUGCUGAAUUCCUCAAGGUAGGCAUGAUGAAGGAGGGUUUAGAGGAGACACAGACACAAUGAACUGACCUAGAUAGAAAGCCUUAGUAUACUCAGCUAGGAAUAGUGAUUCUGAGGGCACACUGUGACAUGAUUAUGUCAUUACAUGUAUGGUAGUGAUGGGGAUGAUAGAAGGAAGAACUUAUGGCAUAUUUUCACCCCCACAAAAAUCAGUUAAAUAUUGGGACACUAACCAUCCAGGUCAAGAAAAGUCACAUGCCAUAGCCAUGGUAUUGCACAUCAUUCAUCUUGCAUUCUUUGAGAAUAAGAAGAUCAGUAAAUAGUUCAGAAGUGGGAAGCUUUGUCCAGGCCUGUGUGUGAACCCAAUGUUUUGUUUAGAAAUAGAACAAGUAAGUUCAUUGCUAUAGCAUAACACAAAAUUUGCAUAAGUGGUGGUCAGCAAAUCCUUGAAUGCUGCUUAAUGUGAGAGGUUGGUAAAAUCCUUUGUGCAACACUCUAACUCCCUGAAUGUUUUGCUGUGCUGGGACCUGUGCAUGCCAGACAAGGCCAAGCUGGCUGAAAGAGCAACCAGCCACCUCUGCAAUCUGCCACCUCCUGCUGGCAGGAUUUGUUUUUGCAUCCUGUGAAGAGCCAAGGAGGCACCAGGGCAUAAGUCUACUCACUUAUAUCUGUUUGUCUGGAACAUAACCCAUGUUUGUUUUUACAACAAAUAAAAUUGAUCUUGAAUAAAAA
rnacentral:lncRNA from 1 species